AACCCUGAGAGUCCUCAGGACACUAAAACUCCAAGAGAUUAAGUGUCCCUCCUGAGGGUACCCAGCAAAUGGACAGAGCUGGGGUUUGAACACAGGCCAGAUGCUCCAGGGCCAGCACCCUCCCACUCAUGAUAUGGGGAGCUCGUGGACCAAGCAGUGGUUACUAGAGUGGAAGGGACAGGAUACAGAAUCCAGGGGAGCAUGGGGGAUGUUGGGAUUCUCACCAUGGAGCAGGGAUAAAAGAAGGAAUGACACAGAAAGAUUUGGAGACUUAACCAAGAUAAGACAUGAGAUAACUCCAAGGAGACAAAGAUGAAGCCAAAGAGCAGGAGCCAAGGGGGCACCAAGAGGUCCUGCUUCCAAGCCGCUGUCUCUAUAACCAUUCCAUAA